rnacentral:rRNA from 1 species
AUAGCGUAUAUUAAAAUUGUUGCGGUUAAAAAGCUCGUAGUUGGACCCGCGGCCUUUGGAUACUGGUCCUCGUACAUUCGAGUGCACUAGUUGUCCGGGCCUACCUCGCUGGUAUUCCUUUGAGUGUCCUUUAUCGGAUGUUCAUUGGGACCAGCACGUUUACUUUGAAAAAAUUAGAGUGCUCAAAGCAGGCGUCUCGCCUGAAUAGUGGUGCAUGGAAUAAUGGAAUAGGACCUCGGUUCUAUUUUGUUGGUUUUCGGAACCCCGAGGUAAUGAUUAAGAGGGACAGACGGGGGCAUUCGUAUUGCGACGUUAGAGGUGAAAUUCUUGGAUCGUCGCAAGACGGACUACUG